AAAGAUCCCCAUCCUUCCGUUUUUAAACUCAAUUCCCAAAACUCUAACCCUAAUUUCCAAAAAUCAUCCGUCUCCCCUCUUUCAUCUCUCUAUCCCUUCUCUCUCUACCUCUCCUUCUCUCUUCCUAUCAUCAUCGACAUCCAUGGCUAUCGUCGGCAACCCUAACGCCGGCAAAGCCUUUUCCCCUUGCUCUCCUAUACUCUCUCUCUAAAAUCUCUCCUCUCUCGUCCUGCAUCAGCCAAACAAGCCACUAAACGCCGCUCUAGUCACUGAUAUUAGCCGGCAAAGCUGCACCGCUGCUGCUCCACUCUCUCCGCCGAUAAGCCAACUCCAACGACGAACCCCAGAUCUGCUGCCGCCGAGAAUAGUAGCCAUAAAAUAGCCCCCGCUCUUCCUCUGCCGCUCCGGUGUCUCCCCCACACCGCCAGCUCGCCUCCCGUCAAUGCUACCACCGGCGUCGCCACCAGCCACGGCACUGCCUCCCUCCGUUCGUCCUCUCGCCAUCUAGGAUCCCAUCGGAAUUAAGGCCGAUGAGGUUCCCUUUUGAUGAAUUUGAUUACCCAACGGCACCAGAAAGUGAUAUUAGGGCACGAAAAGUCAUCGGGGUGUUCAAUAGAUUUAUACUAGUUCUAUUUAGUUUUAUUUUCUUGUUACUCGGUUUGUAAUAUAUUGUAAAACACUAUUUGAUGUAAUAAUAAUUUUGGAGACUGCUUCGAA